UACGGGGGGGUAAGCGUUGUUCGGAAUUACUGGGCGUAAAGGGCUCGUAGGCGGCCAACUAAGUCAGACGUGAAAUCCCUCAGCUUAACUGGGAACUGCGUCUGAUACUGGAUGGCUUGGAUUCGGGAGAGGAAUGCGGAAUUCCAGGUGUAGCGGUGAAAUGCGUAGAUAUCUGGAGGAACACCGGUGGCGAAGGCGGCAUUCUGGACCGAUAUUGACGCUGAGGAGCGAAAGCCAGGGAGCAAAGCGGG
rnacentral:rRNA from 1 species